rnacentral:misc_RNA from 1 species
AAAGAUUUGAUUGCAACACUGAAAGCCCUUGCAAAGAGAAAGCACAAAUCAGGAAAUGGCAAACAUGUGAAGAUCUUGUAUCAAUUCAAAAUAUGCUCUUUUUUUUACAGCAAUGAUUGAUACAAUUGGCUAACAAUCCUAAAAAGGCUGAAAUCAAAGAUUCAAAAAAAAAAGGAGGCCAAUGAGAUAUUAAACCCAAAAAACAUCAAGUUCAACCAAAUCAGAUUUGACAACAAAUUAAAUGGAUGAAAGAUCUUCAUAUAUGGUCUUGAUACCUGGCCUCUCAGAUACAGAUCUUAUGCACCGUAGUGCUAGUCCAAGGACCUCCUUCAUUCCCUUUUCAACUGCUGGAUUUGACAUUUCUGGCAUCAGUGCAGGAUCAAAGCAAUCUGAGCCACGACCCUCUGUCACUCUUAACCGCACCCAAUCAGUCAAAUCAACACCUCCCUCUUCCCCAGAAAUCACGUCACCAGCACACCUGCCAGUUAAAAGCUCCAAUAGUAUUACUCCAAAUGCAUAGACAUCUGACUUAAAGGAGGGAAUUGGUUUCUUGGAUGCAGCCAACUCUGGUGCACGAUAACCCAAUACCCCAGCAUCAAGUAUCUGUUCAAUGGUGCCAGCUUGAGUCAUUAGUCGAUGGAGGCAGUAAUCAGCAACACGAGCAUUGAGAUCAGGCCCAUCUAGCAGUAUGUUUGUUGCUUUAAGGUUCCCAUGUGGAACAGCACGAUCAAAAUGGAGAUAGUUGAGGCCACGUGCAACAUCAACUGCUAUUUUGAGCCUCUGUGCCCAGGUUAACGGUGGACCUCUUCUUCCCGGUCGAUCAUAAAGAAAGCUUGAAAGACUUCCAGGAGAGAUAUAAUCCGACAGAAUAAGCUUCUCAUGUUGUGUAGGUCCCCAGUAGUAUCCUCUGAGACCCACCACAUUUGGAUGCCUGAUGUUUGCAAACUUUUUAGCUUCCUUAGCAAACUCCUUUUUCUGUUUUGCCACCCCUUCUCUCAGCCAUUUCACAGUCAAGAACAUCCCAUUAUCCAAUGUUGCCCUGUAUGAAGUCCCAUGACUGCUCCUGCCCAAGACCUCAGCUGGCGCCCUUGACAGCUCCUCAGGUGUCAUUGUGAUUGUAUCAUCAAGAAAAUAAAGCUCACCGACUAAUCGAUCCGGUGACCUUACAUCCAAUCUUGCCAGCGUUUCAGCCGUGACUGAAUCCCCUGAUUCUGGUGACCAAGACAAAUGGCUGUGCUUUGAUGGUGAGAACCCAGUAACAGCAGCCAUUUUGUCAUCUGGACUGAUAAUCUCUGAUGACGAACCUUUUCGCGAUGCCACAAGAUCCUCUGCUGAAACAACCAAGGCACCUCCACUUUCUGUUCCCCUAAUACCAGAUGGGUUGGUUGGAGUACGCCUGAGGACAGCUUUGCUUGUGACAUGAUCUGAUGGUGGUCUCCUUGAUAUACGAAUGUAAUGUAUGAAGAUAGCAAGCAUGAUGAGAAUGAUCACUGCAAUUACACAUGAGACUAUUACUACCACCUUGACAAUAGUGUUGAUUGGUUUCCUCCUAGAAUUUUCAGCUGGAAAUUCGUUUGAUCCGGAAGGUCCACUAGGAAGAUGCAAUCUGGAAUUUCCAGGAUAGAAAGAAGAACUAGGGAACCUCCUCAGGUUUUCUGGGACAACCCCAGAAAGAUCAUUGUAUGAAACAUUAAAGCUUCCAAGGCUAUUAGACAAGUUGGGUAGAGGACCAGAGAAAUGAUUUUGGGAUAAAUCUAACAUGCUUAGUGAGGUCAUGUCAGCCAUGGAAGUUGGCAGAGAUCCUGAUAAAUUAUUGCCUGCAAGAUUGAGCACUUGAAGUCCGGUCAGUGAAACAAAUCCAUCAGGAAAAUAACCACCAAGUUUGUUAUGAGAAAGAUCAAUAAAUUGAAGAUUGGAUUCACUAUUAGGACGAGAAAAUUCAAUAGCACCACUGAGCAAAUUAUUUUCAAGGUGGAGUUCUUGCAAGGUAGGCAAUGUUAGUAAAUCUGUCAAAAGAACUCCAUCUAACUGGUUGGAACUGAGAUCUAGGACUCUAAGCUUUGGAUACUGAGCAACAACUUUUGGGAGAGCACUAGUGAGAGAAUUAUGGGAGAGGUUGAGAUAAUUUAAACGCAAAAAUUGAGGAAGUAAUUCAGGGAAUGAUCCUGUCAAUCGAUUAUUGCUGAGAUCAAGAUAUUCAAUGUUCCCCCACUUCCCUAUUCUGGUUAGAUUUCCUUCAAAUUGAUUGUUUGAUAGAUCAAGCACAGCACAGCUUCCUGUCAGCAAAGGAAGUUCACCUACAAGCCCAUUUGAUGAGAGAUCAAGGACACGCAAAGUUGUUGACAUAAUCAUACUUAUUGGUCCUGAGAGAUUGUUGGCGCUCAAAUCCAGUUCAGUUAAUAGUAAAGAAUCCCCUUUCAACAGGUCAUUAGGAAUAAACCCUGAGAACCUAUUGUUGCGGAGCCUAAGGACCUGAAGCUCAUAAGCAAAAUCAAAUCCAGGCAAGUCUCCAGAGAGUUGAUUGUAGCUCAAAUCCAAUACGUUCAAGCUUGCAAACAAACGCAGCUCACCUCCACUUAUCAAUGAUCCUGUGAGCUGGUUGUGGCUGAGAUUUAAGUAACUAAUGCUUUCAGAAAGACCAGGCAGUAAUUUCUCAGGACUAGAGCUCACUAGCAUAUUCGAACUAAAAUCAACAUGACUUGCAUUAGUUACAAGAAAAAACUCGCUGUCUAGAUGACCAUCAAACAUGUUCCCAUGCAAGUCAAGAACCUUGAGACCUAAAAUCAAGUCAAACCCCCUUGGAAUUCUUUUAGUGAACCCAUUAGAAGAUAGAUUUAAAUAUAUCAGGUUAUUCAACCUCGUCAAUAGCACAGGCAAUGACCCUGAAAAGGAAUUGCGGCUCAAGUCCAAAGACUGGAUUGAUACAAGCCCCGAAAUUGAAUCUGGAAUAGAGCCAGAGAAGUUGUUCCCAGCCAAUGAGAGGUUCUUCAAGCUCCCUAAUUUACCAAAUCCUGUUGGUAAAGAACCUGAAAAGAGAUUGUUUGACACAUCCAGGAACUCAAGGCUUUUGAAGUCGCCAAUAUUGUCAGGAAUCUUGCCGGUCAUAGAGUUGUUUGACAUAGAGAGUUUGACAAGCUUUGUAAGGUUUGCAAACACACUCAAAUCAGCUUCAGUGGAGAGACCCAAGUUAUCGAGGACAACAGCAGCAACAUUUCCACCAUUACAGACAACACCAUUCCAAGAGGAAGGGCAGCCAUCAAAAUCAAUGGACUCGUCAUUCCAUGAGCUAAGGACAUAACCAGUAGGGUCAUGCUUGAUACCCUUCUUGAAUUCAAGCAAUGCCAAAAUGUCCUGUGAAGGAAGCUGACCCAUGGCAGAAAGGAAAAAUAGGCACAACAUUAGAAGUCUAAAGAGCUUCAUCUUCGCCCUAUCAAUGUCUCCACCAAGGUAAAUGUAGUAGCGUCAAUCAAACAGAAGAGGGAUAAGUGAAUUUCAGACCUUCACAACGAUAUAGAACCAAAAAUGGCUGCUUCAAUAUUAUGAGAAACAAGCCCUUAACAACUAGAGAUCAGCUGAAUCUUCUACACAAGUGAAGCUUUCAAGUUUAAGCAAUAUGAAUCAGCAAUUUCAACUAGGUUUUUACCAUUUAACAGUAAAAAAUAAGAGAGACCCAGCAAAACCAUUUUCUUCUAUCAAAAGACAUUGGCUCCUUCAGAGAACAAAAUGAGAAAAUUUCCCACAUUCAACUAAAAAUCUCAAAAUAAGUUCAGCAACCCAGCACUCCGUACCUGAUACUAGACCAAAUUUUGAGAGACCAUAGCUUCACGAGACUGAUUCUGCUUCAAAUGAGAAAGACGCUGCUUCAAAUAAGAAUAUUGUUUCAGCCACGCAAACUUCACCAAAGCAUUAAAUGUCUAAAAUGGAAAUCCAACGCAAACUGGGUCCCAUUAAGAGAUCUACCAAGGGAGAAAAUGCAGUAUUUAUCUCACCAAGAUCUCAACUUUCAUUAACAAUGUAGGCACAGGAGAAUCAUCCCCUCUAUGAAGACUCCAACUUUAGACAUAGGAGCUUUAGAACAACCUACACAUGGGUUUUAGCUUACCCCCUCAAGCAAACAGUGCACAGAGACAAAGUAAACAGUAAAAGAACAAGCCCAAGAAUAAGAACAAAGAAAUGGGUCAACAAAUGAAGAACCACAUUGUAAUAAAUACAAGGGACCAAAAAUAUUUUAGCUACAAAACCACUAAUACCUGUCCAUUUAGCUGCUUAAACCGUGAACAGUACAAAAACC